UAAGGAAUAUUGGACAAUGGGCGCAAGCCUGAUCCAGCCAUGCCGCGUGAAGGAUUAAGGUCCUCUGGAUUGUAAACUUCUUUUAUAAGGGACGAAAAAAGGGAAUUCUUUCUCACUUGACGGUACCUUAUGAAUAAGCACCGGCUAACUCCGUGCCAGCAGCCGCGGUAAUACGGAGGGUGCAAGCGUUAUCCGGAUUCACUGGGUUUAAAGGGUGCGUAGGCGGGUAUUUAAGUCAGUGGUGAAAUCCUAGAGCUUAACUCUAGAACUGCCAUUGAUACUAUUUAUCUUGAAUAUUGUGGAGGUAAGCGGAAUAUGUCAUGUAGCGGUGAAAUGCUUAGAUAUGACAUAGAACACCUAUUGCGAAGGCAGCUUACUACGCAUAUAUUGACGCUGAGGCACGAAAGCGUGGGGAUCAAACAGG
rnacentral:rRNA from 4 species